rnacentral:snRNA from 1 species
GGAGAUGUGUGUCUGUGAUGGCACAGCUGAACAUCGAUCGCUGGUUAAUCUAGGCAGAUCUGCUCAGUGGGUGGCGUCACUAGCCUGUUUCCCGUAGCUAUGAACGAUGCCGAUGCCUCGUCGCUCGGUGUCGGUCCUGGCUCCUUUCUCAUAACGUUACGGUUUUCCAAAAUUAGGGGGGGUCCGGCUAAUUUAGAACAUCUCCAUAUAAGAGGCACUACGCGUGGUAGUCUGCCAUUUUUUCA